AGGACGAACGCUGGCGGCGUGCUUAACACAUGCAAGUCGAACGGUAAGGCCCCUUCGGGGGUACAUGAGUGGCGAACGGGUGAGUAACACGUGGGUAAUCUGCCCUGCACUUCGGGAUAAGCCUGGGAAACUGGGUCUAAUACCGGAUAUGAACUCCUGCCGCAUGGUGGGGGUUGGAAAGUUUUUCGGUGCAGGAUGAGCCCGCGGCCUAUCAGCUUGUUGGUGGGUAAUGGCCUACCGAAGGCGACGACGGGUAGCCGGCCUGAGAGGGUGAUCGGCCACACUGGGACUGAGACACGG
rnacentral:rRNA from 1 species